UGCAAGGUCUGACACAGAAACAGAAGUCUGUGUUCUUCAGACCUGUCAAGAGGAGUCAUGGAAACUCUCUGCCCUCAAACCCCACAGAGAACACUGCAAGGCUAUGGAAAGUCGGCCCUGGCAAGGAUCUCAAGAGAAUAGCUUGCUUGACUUCGUAAAGCCAGCCGAUCUGUGACAGAACUCCCAGUGUUGAAAAUGAACUCGAACUUCAGUUUUCACAGCCUCAUGGAGGAUCUGGGAGGCAGGGCAGCGAGGAAGCCUCAGAAGAACCUUCUCCAGCCAGCGCCUGAGGAACACCGGCCACUUCUGCCGGUGAAGUCUCCCAUGGGGACCCCAGCCCCCAGGCCUGCUCACU